rnacentral:rRNA from 1 species
GACGAACACUGGCGGCGUGCCUAAUACAUGCAAGUUGAGCGCUGAAGGUUGGUACUUGUACCAACUGGAUGAGCAGCGAACGGGUGAGUAACGCGUGGGGAAUCUGCCUUUGAGCGGGGGACAACAUUUGGAAACGAAUGCUAAUACCGCAUAAAAACUUUAAACACAAGUUUUAAGUUUGAAAGAUGCAAUUGCAUCACUCAAAGAUGAUCCCGCGUUGUAUUAGCUAGUUGGUGAGGUAAAGGCUCACCAAGGCGAUGAUACAUAGCCGACCUGAGAGGGUGGACGGCCACAUUGGGACUGAGGCACGGCCCAAACUCCUACGGGAGGCAGCAGUAGGGAAUCUUCGGCAAUGGACGAAAGUCUGACCGAGCAACGCCGCGUGAGUGGAGAAGGUUUUCGGAUCGUAAAACUCUGUUGGUAGAGAAGAACGUUGGUGAGAGUGGAAAGCUCAUCAAGUGACGGUAACUACCCAGAAAGGGACGGCUAACUACGUG